rnacentral:rRNA from 1 species
GUCUAGGGCCAUACCACCCCGAACGUGUCCCGUCUCAUCCGAACUCGAAAGCUGAGCAGAGUCGGGCCGGGUCAGUACUUGGAUGGGAAGACAAAGCCAGGGCGCCGGGAGCA